rnacentral:misc_RNA from 1 species
GAUGAAGAACGCAGCGAAAUGCGAUAAGUAAUGUGAAUUGCAGAAUUCAGUGAAUCAUCGAAUCUUUGAACGCACAUUGCGCCCGCCAGUAUUCUGGCGGGCAUGCCUGUCCGAGCGUCAUUUCAACCCUCGAACCCCUCCGGGGGGUCGGCGUUGGGGAUCGGCCCUUUACGGGGCCGGCCCCGAAAUACAGUGGCGGUCUCGCCGCAGCCUCUCCUGCGCUGUAGUUUGCACACUCGCAUCGGGAGCGCGGCGCGUCCACAGCCGUUAAACACCCCAAACUUCUGAAAUGUUGACCUCGGAUCAGGUAGGAAUACCCGCUGAACUUAAGCAUAUCAAUAAGCGGAGGA